UACAUUUCAAGUCAAAGGCAAUUCAGUCUUCAUCUAUUAGUUGAGCAUACAUACGUGGCUUUUCUGCAGCCACCACAUCUUUCUCCGUUUCUUUCGCAGCUAGCGCAACUUAUUCUUUCGUUUUUUUCUUUCGAUUCUUUCCCCAUGGAUUCUCUUUGGCUUCUCAAAGAUACUCUGAAUCACUGGGUUGCUCCUCUUUCAAGUUUUGGCAAAAUUUUGUUCUGUUUCUCUUGCUCUGUAUUUGUGAUGCUCUUUAGUCUGACCUUUAAAGUUUUUUUCUUCUAUGAAUGUAAUUUGAAUUUUUAGGGUUAGUUGGUAAGGCAUAAGGCCAAAGAGUGUAGGGCAGGAAGGAGAGACGACUUGGAGCUCUUCGCCGAAAACGAAGCUAAAGCCAUGUUCCAGUCAAACUCAUUGGUACCAGUAUAGCCAAGAGUGACACUGCUACAAUAUUUGCUAUUCCACGCAAAAAAUGCGGAAAAAAAUAAAAUUCAAGUGAUAAUUCUGGUAUGACAGAGGUCACUCUGAACAAUGAUUUUGAGUUAAAACAUGUAAACUUUAAAUAUCCAAGAAGGCAGAUUUUUAAUUUUUUAGAGACCUUUGCUUGACCAUUCGCUGUGAAAAGGUGAAUUGACGGUUAAUGUUGUUUCUUUGUUGUCUUCUUUCUCAGCAAAAAGUAAUUUAUUGGUUUGCUAGAAAUGGGAUACAAACUUAUUAAUUUUUGGAUCAUCUAGAAUUUAAGAGAUAUCCUGAUGAGGUUCUUAGUUGAGACACAGAUUUGGCUCCA